rnacentral:rRNA from 1 species
UACGAAGGGUGCAAACGUUGCUCGGAAUUAUUGGGCGUAAAGCGCACGUAGGCGGCUUAGUAAGUUGGAUGUGAAAUCCCUCGGCUUAACCAAGGAAGUGCAUCCAAAACUACUGAGCUUGAGUACUAAAGAGGAUCGCGGAAUUCCCGGUGUAGAGGUGAAAUUCGUAGAGAUCGGGAGGAACACCAGAGGCGAAGGCGGCGACCUGGACAGAUACUGACACUCAACUACGAAAGCGUGGGGAGCAAACAGG